AGACGUCCAAACCAGCAGGACGACAUCACUGCUCCCAGUGUGGAAAGAGUUUUACUCAGUUAGGGAGCCUGAGAACACAUAAGAGAAUACACACUGGAGAGAAGCCUUACCACUGUUCCCAAUGUGGAAUGUCGUUUACCCAGUUAGGGAGCCUGCAAACGCAUGAGAGGGGCCACACAGGGGAAAAGCUUUUCCAAUGUUCCCAUUGUGGAAAGAGGUUUGGCCAGGUAGGAAACCUGAACAAGCAUGAGAGGACACACACAGCUGGACCCCAGGAAGAGUAGCUGCUGCCUUGGCAGGAACUAAUGGGGAUCCAUAUUGAACCCCCAGGAAGAGUAGCUGCUGCCUUGGCAGGAACUAAUGGGGAUCCAUAAUAAACCCCAGGAAGAGUAGCUGCUGCCUUGGCAGGAACUAAUGGGGAUCCAUAUUGAACCCCCAGGAAGAGUAGCUGCUGCCUUGGCAGGAACUAAUGGGGAUCCAUAUUGAACCCCCAGGAAGAGUAGCUGCUGCCUUGGCAGGAACUAAUGGGGAUCCAUAUUAAACCCCAGGAAGAGUAGCUGCUGCCUUGGCAGGAACUAAUGGGGAUCCAUAAUAAACCCCAGGAAGAGUAGCUGCUGCCUUGGCAGGAACUGCACUGUCGGAGCUCGAAACACAAGGAUUUUGCUACACCUGCAAUACCAUUUGCUAAACACAUGUAUGUGACCAAUAAAAUGUGAUUUGAUUCUGAUUUGAAAUAAACGUCCUAUUUAUCAAAGGUG